UACAAACUGCGGUACCUCAGAUUCAGAUAGCAAUACUUAAAGAAUGAAAUUCAGGGACUUCGACAGAGUUUUGCCCGUUCCAAAUGAUUAUCAAUUGCCAUUAAAAAUGGCUGUUUCACGAGAUCAUGCUGCCUUCGAUAACAUGGGAAGACCGCGUAAUCGAUUCAUCGAUGUGCUGCAACAUCAUUUCAUGUAUUUGGUGAACUACUAUUACAAGUUUGAAGAAAAUCCACGGAGAGUUUUAUGGUAUAUUUAGCUAUAAUAUUGCCCGAUCAAAACUUCCAUGAAAGCCUCAAAAACCAAUCCUGACAUGCGCCGUAAAAAUAGCCGCCAUAUUGUCCCUGAUUUUUGGUAAUGAGGGGUGGAGGUCAUAACCUCGAAGCUUGUCCAGGAGAAUCUUGUGGUCGAUAAGGUCGAAACCUUUUUUGAAGUCUGU